GUUCCAGUGCACCAAUUAUGAUUCCUUUUAAAGUUUAAUUUGUUGGUAAAUGUGUGAUUGCAACACUCCAAAUGUUUAAUUGCGAAGUUUUUGUGUUUUGCCUAAAUACAUGAUCCAACUAUAUUUUUGGGUUAGACUUUGUUGGUGACCUUGGCAUCAGAUGAUUGGGGUACAGCAUAUAUGAUUAAUCAGCUUAGAUUUUCUUUGUCCCUGCACUAAUUCUGGAGCAUAUUAGGAUGGUGGGUUUAAUGAUAGAGAG
rnacentral:misc_RNA from 1 species